GUGCUGUCCCAGAACCAGGUUUCAGACAAAAUAAGAGCACAGCUGAUCUCAUGCUGGUGGUUAGUCUGGUUCUCAGCUCAUCAUCUGGUUUUCAAGAGACCAAACAUCAGCUAGUAACAGACUACGCAGCUGUGGCCUGGUUGCUCUUGCCUUAGCCUACGAGCGGACAUCAGCAAGUAACAGACUAGACAGCUGCGGUCUGGUAGCCCCCGCCUUUAGCCUACGAGUGGAUAUCAGCUGGUAACAGACUAGGAAGCUAUUGUGUGGUAGCUCUAACCUUUAGGCUCGGAUUUAGCCCGCCUCUCUUCCCUCUCCUCCUCUUCGGAUGUUCUGUGAAUAGCUUCGUCUGCUUCGUUGCUCACGUGUAUCCGGAGCUGCCGUCUCUUGUUGGCUGGAAUUAACUCGGUUCAGUUGUUUGAAGAAGUCCAAGUCCAGCAAGCUGGGGUUUGGCACAGUGUGGGCUCUGCUGAUGUCCAGAUGUUGGUCUGGACUGUGCAGUAACACUGCACAGGCUAGUAGUAUGUUUUAAAGGCACAAAGUCGCUGACACAGAA